rnacentral:tRNA from 1 species
AUUUAUAUAGUUUAAGCAAAACCUUACAUUUUCACUGUAAAAAUAAAAAUUUAUUUUUUAUAAAUA